CAGCAGCCGCGGUAAUGCGUAGGUGGCAAGCGUUGUCCGGAAUUAUUGGGCGUAAAGCGCGCGCAGGCGGAUCAGUCAGUCUGUCUUAAAAGUUCGGGGCUUAACCCCGUGAUGGGAUGGAAACUGCUGAUCUAGAGUAUCGGAGAGGAAAGUGGAAUUCCUAGUGUAGCGGUGAAAUGCGUAGAUAUUAGGAAGAACACCAGUGGCGAAGGCGACUUUCUGGACGAAAACUGACGCUGAGGCGCGAAAGCCAGGGGAGCGAACGGGAUUAGAUACCCGUGUAGUCCCUGUCUCUUAUACA
rnacentral:rRNA from 1 species